rnacentral:rRNA from 1 species
UACGUAGGGGGCAAGCGUUGUCCGGAAUCAUUGGGCGUAAAGCGCGCGUAGGCGGCCCUGUAAGUCCGCUGUGAAAGUCAAAGGCUCAACCUUUGAAUGCCGGUGGAUACUGCAGGGCUAGAGUCCGGAAGAGGCAAGUGGAAUUCCUGGUGUAGCGGUGGAAUGCGCAGAUAUCAGGAGGAACACCAACGGCGAAGGCAGCUUGCUGGGACGGUACUGACGCUAAGGCGCGAAAGCGUGGGGAGCGAACAGG